UGGAUACUACUUUUGAGAGUUUGAUCCUGGCUCAGGUCGAACGCUGGCGGUGUGUCUAAGGCAUGCAAGUCGAACGAGCUUUAUUUCUUCGGAAAUCAAGUUAGUGGCAGACGGGAGAGUAACACAUUGGUAAUCUACCUCGUACUCGUGAAUAGCCCAGAGAAAUCUGGAGUAAUACACGAUAUUGAUGGGGGGUCACAAGACAUUCCCAUUGAAAGAUUUUUCGGUGCGAGAGGAGCCUAUGUCCUAUCAGCUUGUUGGUGAGGUAAAAGCUCACCAAGGCUACGACGGGUACCGGGCGUGAGAGCGUGACCCGGCUCACUGGGACUGAGACACUGCCCAGACUCCUACGGGAGGCUGCAGUCAAGAAUAUUCCGCAAUGCACGAAAGUGUGACGGAGCGACACCGCGUGUCGGAUGAAGGCCUUCGGGUCGUAAACGACUGUUCUGAGGGACGAAACAAUGACGGUACCUCAGCAGAAAGGGGUUGCUAACUCUGUGCCAGCAGCAGCGGUAAUACAGAGACCCCGAGCGUUGACCGGAUUUAUUGGGCGUAAAGAGUGCGUAGGUGGUUUUGUAAGUCAUCUGUUAAAUCUUCAGGCUCAACCUGGAGGCUGCAGGUGAUACUGCAAGACUAGAGAGUGGGAGGGGUAGAUGGAAUGCCUGGUGUAGGGGUCAAAUCCGUUAAUAUCAGGUGGAACACCAAAAGCGAAAGCAAUCUACUGGAACACUUCUGACACUGUUGCACGAAAGCGUGGGUAGCGAAUGGGAUUAGAUACCCCAGUNNNNNNNNNNNNNNNNNNNNNNGUUUAAACAAGCUAACGCGUUAAGCAUCCCGCCUGUGUAGUACGGCCGCAAGGCUAAAACAUAAAGGAAUAGACGGGGACCCGCACAAGCGGUGGAUCAUGCGGUUUAAUUCGAUGAUACGCGAGGAACCUCACCCAGGCUCAACUACUGGCUGCAAGCUCUAGAGAUAGAGAAGCCUUAGAGGGUGCCAGAUAGGUGUUGCAUGGUCGUCGUCAGCUCGUGCCGUGAGGUGUACCCUUAAGUGGGGUAACGAGCGCAACCCUUGUCCAGUGUUGUACUUUCACUGGAGACUGCCCACGUAAGUGGGAGGAAGGCGGGGAUGACGUCAGAUCAGCAUGACCCUUACGUCUGGGGCAACACGCAUGAUACAAUGGCCGGUACAACGGGAAGCCAAACCGCGAGGUGGAGCAAAUCCCUUAAAACCGGUCUCAGUUCGAAUUGGAGUCUGAAACCCGACUCCAUGAAGUUGAAAUCGCUAGUAAAGGCGGAUCAUAACGCCGCCUUGAAUACGUUCUCGGGUCUUGUACUCACCGCCCGUCACGUCAAGAGAGUUGGGGGUGCCCGAAGGUCGUUGUAGAACGGCCGAAGGCAAAUCCAGCAAUAGGGACGAAGUCGUAACAAGGCAUCCGUAGCGGAAGCUGUGGAUGGAUCACCUCCUUUCU
rnacentral:rRNA from 1 species